CCCUUAGAUGUUCUGGGCGGCCUGCGCACUACAUUGGCACUAGCAAAGAGAUCCUAGAUUGAAUUCUUUGGGGUAUUCUUCUAAAUGGUGUCGUGACUGGGAUAAAUCCUUGUAAUUAUUGGUUUUGAACGAGGAAUUCCUUGUAAUCGCGGUUUAUCAGCUCGCGUUGAAUGCGUCCCUGCCCUUUGUACACACCGCCCGUCGCUCCUACCGAUGGAUCGUCCGGUGAAGCUCACGGAGUGACUGUUCACGCAACGGUUUACGAAGUGAAAUGGACCUCACGAUUUAGAGGAAGGAGAAGUCGUAACA
rnacentral:rRNA from 1 species